rnacentral:rRNA from 1 species
UACGGGGGGCGCAAGCGUUGUUCGGAUUUACUGGGCGUAAAGGGCGCGUAGGCGGUCGUGACAAGUCACUUGUGAAAUCUCCGGGCUUAACUCGGAACGGUCAAGUGAUACUGUCGGACUAGAGUACAGAAGGGGCAACUGGAAUUCUCGGUGUAGCGGUGAAAUGCGUAGAUAUCGAGAGGAACACCUGCGGCGAAGGCGGGUUGCUGGGCUGAUACUGACGCUGAGGCGCGAAAGCAUGGGGAGCGAACGGG